rnacentral:rRNA from 1 species
AUUGAACGCUGGCGGCAUGCCUUACACAUGCAAGUCGAACGGUAACAGGUCUUCGGAUGCUGACGAGUGGCGAACGGGUGAGUAAUACAUCGGAACGUGCCUAGUAGUGGGGGAUAACUACUCGAAAGAGUGGCUAAUACCGCAUGAGAUCUACGGAUGAAAGCAGGGGAUCGCAAGACCUUGUGCUACUAGAGCGGCCGAUGGCAGAUUAGGUAGUUGGUGGGAUAAAAGCUUACCAAGCCGAGGAUCUGUAGGUGGGCUGGGAGGACGAUCAGCCACACUGGGACUGAGACACGGCCCAGACUCCUACGGGAGGCAGCAGUGGGGAAUUUUGGACAAUGGGCGCAAGCCUGAUCCAGCAAUGCCGCGUGCAGGAUGAAGGCCUUCGGGUUGUAAACUGCUUUUGUACGGAACGAAAAGCCCCGGGUUAAUACCCUGGGGUCAUGACGGUACCGUAAGAAUAAGCACCGGCUAACUACGUGCCAGCCGCCGCCGUAA